UCGGGAAUUUUGGGCAAUGGGCGAAAGCCUGACCCAGCAACGCCGCGUGAAGGAUGAAGUAUUUCGGUAUGUAAACUUCGUAAGAAUAGGAAGAAUAAAUGACGGUACUAUUUGUAAGGUCCGGCUAACUACGUGCCAGCAGCCGCGGUAAUACGUAGGGACCAAGCGUUGUUCGGAUUUACUGGGCGUAAAGGGCGCGUAGGCGGUGUGUCAAGUCAGUUGUGAAAUCUCCGAGCUUAACUCGGAACGGUCAACUGAUACUGUCACACUAGAGUACAGAAGGGGCAAUCGGAAUUCUUGGUGUAGCGGUGAAAUGCGUAGAUAUCAAGAGGAACACCGGUGGCGAAGGCGGGUCUCUGGGCAGUAACUGACGCUGAGGAACGAAAGCGUGGGUAGCGAACAGGAUUAGAUACCCUCGUAGUCCCUGAGCGGGCUGGCAAGGCGCAU
rnacentral:rRNA from 1 species